GAUCAUGAACUUAACCUCCUUAUUUAUGUAAAGACUGGGUUUCAAAACUAUUCAUAUUUCUUCUUAUAAUGAAAGCAGAGGGCUCCCAUUCAGUCUAAAAUGUACAUUUGCUCACAGAAAAGCUACAGGAGAUGUUUCUACCCUCUUGGGACUCUUGAACAGAAUGCUGGUCUGUGUGCAGAAGAUGCUGUUGGCUAGUUUCGAACAAAGAUGUAUGUGUGAAUGUUUGUCCACCCAAGAGGAUCAGCAGCAGUUCGGUUUCCAAAAGCAACUGGCUCUUGGAGGCAGAGGCAUCCCCUGUGUUGCAACUGUAUGAGCCACAUACCCCUCCCAUGUAAAUUGGUUCCCGGAUAAAUGAGAGUGAGUGGGAAUGAUUGAAAUACAAUGGUAGCAGGCCUCUACUGAAUGGCCUGUAAUGACUGGGCCAUCACCUCGCAUUGAUUCAUCCAUGAACCAUGGACCUCACCCAGAAACAGAGACAAGAACCCAGCAUUUGAAAGACAAAGCCCUGCAGAACCAGCCACUCUACCAUUGUACCCCACCAUUACAGACACCCGAAACUGCACAUCCCUGCAUGAAGCACACAUGCUCAGUACACCAGGGGCUGACCCUUGCCUGGGCAUGCCUCCUGUCACUAGGGUCACACAAGGUCUGCCCCUAUAAAAAGGGGCAGUGAAGACAGACCCAGUGGGAUGCCCUCUCUAUCUGGACCAGCACCAUGCCACACCAGCUAUCCACCCAGAGGCCCUGCUGGAGACGCCCCUCUGGACAACACCUACUGGACAAGGACCUCUUUCCAGCCUGGAUAGGUGGCUAUCACCCCCCACCCCCUCUUCAACCAAGGACUUGGACUCUGCUUCUCCUCCCUACCUGGACUCCAGCCCUUCAACUGAGUCUUUCUCUUGCUGCCAUUGUGAGUGCUUUUCUUUGUGUGUGUAAACAAGAAACUUUAUGGGGCUGUGUAGUGUGUUGUCUGUGUAAUAAAACUGUUAU